GCAAACUUGGUCAUUUAGAGGAAGUAAAAGUCGUAACAAGGUCUCCGUUGGUGAACCAGCGGAGGGAUCAUUACUGAGUAUUUUACUCUCAAACCCAUGUGAACUUACCACUGUUGCCUCGGUGGUUGGCCGCAGAUCUCUCUCUCGGGGGCGAUCUGGGGUUAUAGCCACCGGUGGACUACUUAAACUCUUGUUUUUAGUGUCUCUCUGAGUAACUAUAAAAAUAAAUUAAAACUUUCAACAACGGAUCUCUUGGUUCUGGCAUCGAUGAAGAACGCAGC
rnacentral:misc_RNA from 1 species